UACGUAGGGUGCGAGCGUUGUCCGGAUUUAUUGGGCGUAAAGGGCUCGUAGGCGGCGUGUCGCGUCGGGAGUGAAAGCCCGUUGCUUAACGGCGGGUUGGCUUUCGGUACGGGCAUGCUGGAGUGCGGCAGGGGAGACUGGAAUUCCUGGUGUAGCGGUGGAAUGCGCAGAUAUCAGGAGGAACACCAGUGGCGAAGGCGGUUGCCUGGGGCUUUGCUGACGCUGAGGCGCGAAAGCUAGGGUAGCAAACGGG
rnacentral:rRNA from 1 species